rnacentral:rRNA from 1 species
AGACGUCUACAUUAGAUACCCCUGUAGUCCCAGCCCUAAACGAUGCGCGUUAGGUGUAUCGGUGACCACGAGUCACCGAGGUGCCGAAGGGAAACCGUGAAACGUGCCGCCUGGGAAGUACGGUCGCAAGGCUGAAACUUAAAGGAAUUGCGGGGGAGCACCACAACGGGUGGAGCCUGCGGUUUAAUUGGACUCAACGCCGGGAAGCUCACCGGAUAAGACAGCGGAAUGAUUGCCGGGCUGAAGACCCUGCAUGACCAGCUG